AUGAGAAAGGAAGAGAGUGAGAGAGAGAAGCAGGAAAAGAGAGAAGAAAAGAAAUUGUUGUUGGUUUCGGGGAGAGUGAGGGGCAGUCGAGCAGUGAUGCGGCGGGAAGCACCGGUAUCAUGGAGUUCUCAGUAUUCAGAGGAGAGAGCCAUGGCUCUCCAGGACAUGACAAGAACAAAAUCCAUCAGGUGGCCCAUGGAAUUUGCCCUAAUUGGUUUUUACAGUCAUACCUUGUUUAAUAUAAUUGGACUGUCAUAUAAGGGUUGUCCUGGCUGUUAUGCUGGGCUAUUUUUACCCUGUUUAUUGUAAGUCAAUUCAGUUCCUGGAAGAUCCCUUUAAUGCCCUGACUUGCAUGUCCAAUAUUAUUAGGUGCUAUGAGUUCAGCUUGUGCAAAUCGCUUAAUGCAUAAGUCGGUAAGAGGCUCUGUGCUGGCAGGUCAGACUGAAGGUACAGCAGAUUAAUAUUUGAUCAUGCAGGAGGGUUUGUAAUCACAGCUGAUUGAUCCUUCAGCUGAGUGCCCUGGCAAUUAUCAUAAUUGUUGUCCACCGUACCGGCUUCUCUUUCUCUCUCUCUCUCUCUCUCUCUCUCUCUCGCAUGUCUCCCUCUCUCUCCUCGUAGCGUGGGCCGCAGGUUGAGUCUGUGAGACAGGAAUUCCUGUACAGUGUGUCUUUGAGUGAAUAAUGCAGGAGAAUUGUGGGAGAGAGGUUGGAUGAGGAUCAUCAGAGGCGAGGUUUCCCUCUCUUGGGUGACAUUGUGUGUGUGUGUGUGUGUGUGAGUGUUUGUGUCUGCAGGGGCAGUGGGACGUGGUUUGCUUGUGUUAGUGUUUCCGAGGACACACACACGCUGUAUUAUGGCAGUGUUCAGAGUUAAUCCCCACUCAGCCACGCUCCACGCUCACACUGCGAGACGGCGUGUAACACACAAACACGCAGGAAAAAGACAGAACACUGUCUCUAUUAACACAAGGCUCUUUUAUCAAGAUCUAUGGAUCAAUCUUUCUCUCUGGUUGACUUGUUUUUCGAGUGAUUUUACUAACUGAUGCUGAAUUGCCUUAUGGUCCAUAACCUGUAAUAAUAAAGCUUGUAUAUCAUUUCAGAAAUGAGUGUUGAAAGAGUCCAGCCUUUAUUGUGUUUGAAUUCAUCACAUAAAGCUGUGCUUGUAUCCUGCCUUUAUUUUACCAAAUAUUUUCAUUCAUUUGUGUAACUUCUGGAUUUUUACACAAUGGUGUGAAUUUGAUUUCUUUCUUUUAAAGGCCUCUUUGUUUAAGUGGAAAAAUACCAAACUGGUUUCUAGCUUGUCUGCCUUUGAAGCUGAGGGGUAUACGUGCCACUGAAUGUGUGAGGCAGCCAGUGCUGUGCCACACUGUGUGGGGGUACUUCCUGUGCCAUGUUUUGUGGAGGUACUUUUUUUUUUUUUUCAAAGUGAAGAGGCAGGAAGAGGUUUUCUAUGCCAGUACACUCCCUGUGAAAGGAUCAGCGGAGGAGAUGUGACCAGUUCUGAGGUAUGAACCGCUCCGUUUGUCCCUGUGUGAGCUUCCUUAGGGCAUAAUUACUUUUGGUAAAAGACGACUGAGCGAAGUUGACUGAUCAAGUUUUGCUGAAAAAGGUCAACGGCGCACAUGCGCACGUGGACUGUGUACAUGCAGGGCCUUGUAGAGGACUGUUCUGAUGGCUUGCAAUAAUUUGACUAGGCAUUUCUGUAGUUUUUCUCGUAUAUAUUUAUGAAGUUUAUAUUUUUUAUACGUUUUAUACAAUUUUAUGAAUGUUUAUAUUUUAUACAUUUUAUAUAGUUUUUUUAAUUAUUUUAUUCAGCAAGGAUGCAUUGAUUGAAUUAGAUCAAAAGAGACAGUGAAGACAUUUAUAAUAUUACAAACUGUCCUCAUCACUGAUAAUAAAAAAUGUUUCUGCAGCAAAUCAGCAUAUUAGAAUGAUUUCUGAAGGAUCAUGUGACACUGAAGACUGGAGUAAUGAUUGCUGAAAAUUCAGCUUUAUGAUUUUAAUAAAUCGUAUUGUAAUACAUGUACAGUAUGUGUAUAUAAAACAUUUAAUUGUAAUACUUCACAGUAUUUUCAAUUGUUUCACAAUAUGAGUUUUUACUGUGUUUUUGAUCAAAUAAAUGCCGCCUUGCUGAGCAUAAGUUAGCAUAACAAUUUUAUUAUUAUUAUUAUUUUAUUAUUUUUUAUUUUUAUUUUUUGCCAGUAUUUAGCUUUGUCAAAGUGUAAAUAUUCAACCUCAUGUAAUUUCACUCAUUUAUAAAACAUGUUGGAAUUUGGAGACAAAUCAGUUGGUACAUGUAUGCCAUUAAAAAAAAUAAAACAAGCUUUUCUUCUCAGUCUUGUUUCGAAUUCUCAUUGUCUUGUCUUCUCUGAUGAAGUUAUGCCGUGUCAGACCAUUUGUCAUAAAACAUGUCUUUAGGAAAAGUCAGUCUGCGAGCUGCUCUCCCUGAGAGAGAGUCAUCUAUCUAUACACACACACACACACACACACACACACACACGGGAUGCAGGACACACUGGGAGAUGGGCUACCAUUAAUCUGCUGUGACUGGGGGAAAUUGUGUCUUUGUAAUGAGUAUUAGGUGUGCAUCUACAUGAAUUAAAGCUAAAUGAGUGUCUGAUUGAUCACCAGUAUUAAAUGACACAGAGCAGAGCAUCAUUAUGCUUUAACAGUGACUGUAUCAUAUCGGGAUGAUUAACACACUCGGCCUGUCUGAAGAACAUGUUUAUGUAAACAAAAGAGAAGUGUGUCUUGCGGAAGCUUUUUUGCCUGCUUUUUUAAAGGCAUUGUAGUGGUGUGUUUUUCAUAAUAUGUGUUAAAUCCUCUUGUGAAUCAUUUUGUUUAUGUGCGUGUGCUGAUCUCUGAAACACAGCAUGAUUAGUAGCACCCCAGAUGUGCUGAUUCCAGCUGUUUAUUUCAAUUCACUCACAGUAUUUAUGUUUAUAUUUCGGCUUAGUGUUAAACUAAUUGAAUUUUACCUAGAAACAAUACCUCUAAGUCUGCUAAGGAUACUCCAUUUUUCUAGUAAAACAUUAUGAUUACGACCAUUCAAAUAUUUAGGGUCAGUAUGAUUUAAAACAUGAAAUAAAUAAAUACAUGCAAAGAUUUAAGUUGAUCAAAAGUGACGGUGUUAUUUUAAACAUUCUUUUCAGCAAAGAAUCCUGAAAAAUGCAUCAUGGUUUCACAAAAAUAUUAACUUUUUAUAUUGAUAAUAAUAAAUGUUACUUUAACACUGAAUCAGAACAUUAGAAUUAUUUCU
ensembl:lncRNA